AUACUUACCUGGCAGGGGAAAUACCAUGAUCACGAAGGUGGUUUUCCCAGGGCGAGGCUUAUCCAUUGCACUCCGGAUGUGCUGGCCCCUGCGAUUUCCCCAAAUGUGGGAAACUCGUCUGCAUAAUUUAUGGUAGUGGGGGACUGCGUUCCUGCUCUCCCCUG